rnacentral:rRNA from 1 species
GGUGAACGCUGGCGGCGUGCCUAACACAUGCAAGUCGAGCGGUGCAGUUUGAAGCUUCGGUGGAAAGCUGCAUAGCGGCGGACGGGUGAGGAAAACGUAGGAACGUGCCCCUUGGAGUUGGAUAGCCACGGGAAACUGUGGGUAAACCGACAUAGACUCGAGAGAGUAAAGGCCGAAAGGCGCCAAGGGAGCGGCCUGCGGCCCCAUCAGGUAGUUGGUAGUGUAAAGGACUACCGAGCCUGCGACGGGUAGCCGGUCUGAGAGGAUGGCCGGCCACAAGGGCACUGAGAGACGGGCCCUACUCCUACGGGAGGCAGCAGUGGGGGAUUUUGGACAAUGGGCGAAAGCCUGAUCCAGCGACGCCGCGUGGAGGACGAAGCCCUUCGGGGUGUAAACUCCUUUUCUCAGGGAAAAAAAGAUGAUGGUACCUGAGGAAUAAGCCCCCGGCUAACUACGUG